GGCGAACGCUGGCGGCGUGCCUAAUACAUGCAAGUCGAACGCAGUGGGGACGGGUGAGUAACACGUGGGUAACCUGCCAUCAGAGGGGAUAAAACUUGGAAAAAGGUGCUAAACCGAUACUGAUGGAUGGACACGCGGUGCAUUAGCUAGUUGGUGGGGUAACGGCUCACCAAGGCCACGAUGCAUAGCGGCCCUGAGAGGCUGUUCGGCCACACUGGGACUGAGACACGGCCCAGACUCCUACGGGAGGCAGCAGUAGGGAAUCUUCGGCAAUGGGCGAAAGUCUGACCGAGCCACGCCGCGUGUGUGAAGAAGGUUUUCGGAUUGUAAAACUCUUUUGUUAGAGAAGCGGUAUCUAACCAGAAAGCCACGGCUAACUACGUGCCAGCAGCCGCGGUAAUUC
rnacentral:rRNA from 1 species